CCCAAAAACCAUUGCGCCUCGUCUGACGGUGAUACGGGCGACCGCCGCACAACAUGGACAUACACCGCCGCUCCGUAUGCACUGCCGCCGUCGAGCUACUAUUAUUAUUAUCAUUUUCCAGCUUCCCAAAGCCGUCCGCCAGCUCCGCCGCCAGAGCCGAGCUCGUCACCUGGAAGUGCGACAACGGCACGUACUACGGGGAGAACUCCACCUACCAGUCCAACGUCCGCACCCUCCUCGCGUCCCUCGCCGCCAACGCCUCCCGCUCGUUAUUCCCGGUGGGCUUCGCCACCGCCGUCGUGGGCCCAAGCCCCGACAUGGUGUGGGGUCUGGGGCUCUGCCGCGGGGACACCACCAACGGCACCGAGUGCGCGUCCUCCUGCCUCGACCUCGCGCCGGAGGUCGCGUUCGGCAGGUGCAUGGGCGUCAAGGACGUGUCCAUCUUCUACGACCGCUGCACCGUCCGCUACUCUUUCCGGGACUUCCUCACCAGCCCGGACAACCGGCAGGUGCAGGUCUGGGGAGCCAGCGACGACUCCGUCGCCCCCCGGGACACCGGCCGGUUCGACGCGCUCGUAGCGAGCCUCGUCGGCGCGCUCUCCGACUGGGCGGCGUUCAACACGACGACCAGGUACGCCUCCGGGGUCAUGGUCUCCGACCAGGGCUUCCCGACCACCCCCAGCAAGGACUUGGUGCACAGGAUCAACGGCCUUGUGCAGUGCACGCCGGACCAGGCGCCGGGCCAGUGCCGCGAGUGCCUCCAGGGGCUCAUCGACGAGAUGCCGGCGGUGUUCAACGGCAGCGUUGGAGGGCGGAUCCUCGCGGUAUGGUGCAACCUCAGGUUCGAGGUGCACGAGUUCUACGACGGCAGCCCCAUGCUGAACCUCACCGCCCCGUAGCCAACGCCACCUACUUCUCCCGUCCGGUCCACACACCAGACUGCAGGGCAUAUUUCCUUCAGCAGGCCCCGGGCCUAGGUGAGUUCCUGGAUGUCCGGCCAAUUGUACCGGUAGGACGAGGUGCCUCUUCUGGUUAGUGUUCGUGGCGAUUAUCUAAAGCCUAUGGACUAUAUGUAGCAAGAUGGUUAUCGAGCGAGUCUUUUUGAGACGUGCUUCUGACUUUGUAUUUUUUUGUUUUGCAAUAGUGCCAUCCGCUAUGUAGGCAGCAGGACAGGGACCAGCUAGACAACAUGAUUGAUGAUCUUUUGGUGAUGCACCUAUGGGCCGAAAUCACUAUUCUGACCCUUUUUAAAAAGUUAAGCAUGAUCUGGCCCACGUUUCAAUUUUUUUAUGAAUGUAACCCUUUUCCUACUGCCAUGGCCGAUAGCGGUAGGGUACAACUAGGGGCCUCGCAGUGCAAACAGAGUCCUAUAGCUGACGUGGAUUACUUCCCUACUGCCAGGGCCAUCGACAGUAGGCUGUAAUACCCUACCACCAUCGGUCCUGGUGGUAGGGUACAAAACAGGUAAAAGAGGAGGGGGAUAGCUGGCGGGUCCCACCUACCAAACCAGCCCACAUCUCCUCCUCCUACCUCAUAGAAUAGCAGCACCGACCCUCUCUCCUCCCCUCCACCCCCUUGGAUCUCCUUCGAUUCUACACCAGUUUUGUAGAUCGAGAUGCCUCCACGACAAGGAAGGGCUCUUGAAGAUGCCAACGGCCCUUGGUACACUAGGCUCGACCCUGCCUUCGACAAGGGCCAUCGUGCACACUCAAUCGAGAAUGGAGAGUGCAUAUGAGGGUUCACACGAAGGCCUGCGAGAUGGAGUACUACAUGUGGUACAAGCCGUACUUCCAGAGGGCCGGGUUGCUGCCAUUUGUGCUCUUGUUCAAUCGUGCGCCACUGACGAUCAACCAAUCGGUUCUCACAACCCUGCUUGGCCGUUGGCGGCUGGAGAUGCACACUUUCCAUCUCCCUUAUGGGGAGAUGACGGUGACACUCGAGGAAUUCGCCAUGAUCACUGGCCUACCGCUGCACGGCAAGGCUCUCAUAGGCUUAAGGAUGGCAACUUUAUCCAUGGACAUGGAUAUCCAUGAAUAUCCGACCUGAAUGGAUAGGGUUUGGAUAUGCUUUUGUGUCCAUAGGCGGUGCCCAAACCCGACCCGAUUGUUCGUGGGUAGGGCAUGGAUAUAAUCUUGUACCCAUGGAUAUACCCAAACCCGACCCGAUAUAAUGACUUAAUGGGAAAAAAUCUGC